GUGUUCAGACGUUCGAAAUCAAUAUUUUCGGGGAUACCAAAAAUGCUGCCUGUUGUAAUUUGUACUCUUGUUGCAAUAUUUGCAAUUGGAGUUAUUGGUAUUUGUGUUGCACAAGCUCAAGCAAUAGAAAUGGAUAGUGAAUUUGGCGGUCGUGCUGCAUUCUCAGCAGAAGCGACUGAAAAUAAAACAGGUUUUAAAGUUGGUGGUGAUUUUAAUGUCCGAAGGGCUAAAAUACCACAUCCCUAAAGAUGGCUCUUCUAACCAAAGUUUCGCUGUGAAAUUUGUAAUACACAUAGCGUACAAGAUGGAUCUGUUAAACAAAGUAUUGAUGUUGAAUUUAUAACUUACAUAUGUGAGAAAUGUAAAAUGUAAUAAAAUCCAUCACGAUAGCAGUUUCAAUA